rnacentral:misc_RNA from 1 species
AAGUCGUAACAAGGUUUCCGUAGGUGAACCUGCGGAAGGAUCAUUAACACGUAUCCACGUAUCAACCAAUUGUGAACUCGUUUUCAUACUCCCUGCUAGCACACAUGAAUUGGAAGCUCUGUCGCUGAUUGAGUGGGACUAAUCUCGGUUAGUCGCGGCGACAAGCUCAUACGCACGAUCUCGGUCGUGUAUACAAUUGAAGCGCGCAGCAGGCAAUAUUCUUAUACCUAUCACCUCCAUUCAAGGUCAUACGUAUAGGAGACAUUAUUCACACCUUUCACCCCCUUUUUGCUAGUUGACUUUUUAUAUGUUGUCUUCUGUUAGCUGAUUCAUUUCACUGACUGAAUUCACACGUUUAAUUACUUGAACGUUAAAAAUACAACUCUUAGCAAUGGAUAUCUUGGUUCUC